GGGGCCAUAGCUCAGCUGGGAGAGCGCUACGCUGGCAGCGUAGAGGUCAGGGGUUCGGCCCCCCUUGGCUCCA
rnacentral:tRNA from 1 species